CCUUCCGUAGGUGAACCUGCGGAAGGAUCAUUACCGAGUGAGGGCCCUUUGGGUCCAACCUCCCACCCGUGUUUAUUUACCUCGUUGCUUCGGCGGGCCCGCCUUAACUGGCCGCCGGGGGGCUCACGCCCCCGGGCCCGCGCCCGCCGAAGACACCCCCGAACUCUGCCUGAAGAUUGUCGUCUGAGUGAAAAUAUAAAUUAUUUAAAACUUUCAACAACGGAUCUCUUGGUUCCGGCAUCGAUGAAGAACGCAGCGAAAUGCGAUACGUAAUGUGAAUUGCAAAUUCAGUGAAUCAUCGAGUCUUUGAACGCACAUUGCGCCCCCUGGUAUUCCGGGGGGCAUGCCUGUCCGAGCGUCAUUGCUGCCCUCAAGCCCGGCUUGUGUGUUGGGCCCCGUCCUCCGAUUCCGGGGGACGGGCCCGAAAGGCAGCGGCGGCACCGCGUCCGGUCCUCGAGCGUAUGGGGCUUUGUCACCCGCUCUGUAGGCCCGGCCGGCGCUUGCCGAUCAACCCAAAUUUUUAUCCAGGUUGACCUCGGAUCAGUAGG
rnacentral:rRNA from 1 species